rnacentral:misc_RNA from 1 species
AAAAGAAAAAUGAAAGUUAAUACCAUCAAAUCAAAAAGGGGCAGUGGAUGGUUACGUGACCGGAUAUGAAAUACAUUCGCGUUUCCCAUGGAAGCGCCAAGUCUUCGUCACCGUGGAGUUUAACAGCGCACGUGCGCACGUAGCAGAGACAACUCCCGCAGGAUCGAUAAGCUCCUCCUCCUUUUUCACAUUGACUUGAUUUCACUUGAUCCUUCUUUGCCAAGUAAAAACCCUCAGCUCGAGAUCUUUCCAUUUUCGUCCCUUAUUGAAGAAGAAGAAGAAGACGAGGAGAAGAGAAAAGAACAACAGAAAAGGGCAAACAACCAACGCGUUGGCCAGCCAGACGUUCGCCGCAACUCAACGUAAACGGCCACGCCGCUCCGCACCGCUUUUCACAUCGAGAACAACAUCUGCAUUCAUGGAUCGCCGGCCAAAAUCACGAGGAUUUCCACCUUUCAACAGGGGGACAGUGUCGGGAGGAUUGGCCACUUCUUCCGUGUCCUUGGCUUGCUUCAUUUUGCUGAUCCAUUUCUCGACCCCGGUAAUCGGUGCCCCGCAAAACAAUAACAACGCUGCCGGUGGUGGAUCGAUUCUGACCAUGGCGGCGGAUGACUUGAUCCAGCCGUCUGCCAGUUGGCUACUCGAACGAUCCAAACAAUCCGGCAGCUGGGGGGUUGACACGCCAAGGGCCCUCCUAGCCCUGUUGCGGGUCAUCGCCGAUCGUUCCGCCACCACAGGCGCGUCGUCCACCGUCAACUUCAAUCCCAAUAGUCUCCAAGGAUUGAUCCUGCGACAGGAAUUUGACAUUCAACUUCUUCUAUUUCUGCUCAGGAAUCAAGGAUCGACUCCGCAGGAGGAGCAGGCCAACACCCUGGAGCCCAGUCGCAGUCUGUUUGCUCUAACUUUAACGGCCAUGUGCCGCAACCCGAGGGAUUUCUACGGCCAGGAUAUUCUCGCGCCUAUCUUGGUCCUGGAAGAGGAUCACGAUGGAAAGCUUUUGCAACCGUUCACGUUCGCCUUCAAUGCGAUGGCCGUUUGUGCCGGAGGCGGGCAUCUCAAGCGACGUCACGUAGUCAAGCUACUCGAGUCCAUCAAUCAGCCGCCCGUCCAGACGCACAGCAUUGAUUUGCUGGCCAUGGUAGUUUUGGCUACUUCUUGCCUCUACCAGAGCAGCCCAAAGUAUCGUCAUUUACAAGACUUUUUGGAACAGCCACUGAAAAUGAUUGCGGCUCAGCAACAGCCGGAUGGCUCUUUUGAUCAUAACGUAGCGACAACUGCGCUGGCCAUUCAGGCUUUGAAAAUCCCUGGCCAACUGCUGGAAGAACAACCAACGGCCAAGCCAAUAACUUUGCCAGCAUGGCGUCCGGACUUGACUGUCGACUGGCUAAGGAGCCAGCAAAAGGCGGAUGGAUCAUUUGGCGAUUUGUUCACGACCAGCGAAGUUCUUCUAGCCCUGGCAACGCAACCUGGUUACGGUUUCCUUUACAGUCAAUGCUCUAAUCUUAACAAUCAGUCGGGCCAGCUCAAUACGACGACUACCCAGCCACCUCCAACCAUCCCUACGACUAUACCAUCCGCUGGAUCGUUAGGUGGCGAUCCGGCUCAGAAAGUCCACUUUACUUACGUCGUGUGGAUCGGGCAAAAUCGAUCGGACGUUUACGCGAUCCAGUUGACCGUUCCGGCCAACAGUUCUUUCUACGAGGCUAUGAAAAUUGCGGCCGAAGCCGAUCCGCGUUUCGAGUUCUCCGCCUCCGUCUGGCCCAACGGGCAUUACAUCCACACCAUAGGAGGUCACAGGGAUCAGUACAUUGGUUUCCAUUUCUGGCUCCUUUUCUGCAUGCCAAUGAUGCCGGAUCCCGCGAAUCCGCCUUCCGUCAUCGCACCUCAUUACGUCGCAGUCGGAGGUGUCGACGAUAUGUUUCCUAAAAAUGGAGACUACUAUCUUUUCUGGUACAAGGACGUUUAACAAUGAGGUCGUCCCGAAUUAAUCCUUGAUGUUUUACCCUUACGUCAGCUGGUUUUGUUGUCUGAUAUGUAGUCCAACAAGACGUGUCGCCAGAGACGAGUGUCUAAUUAGGAAUGACGCCCUUACAUGUAGCCCAACAGAUGUUUUAAACAGAACAAUACACACUGUCGGGCCA